rnacentral:tRNA from 1 species
GGAGAGGUGACCGAGUGGUUGAAGGUACCGGUCUUGAAAACCGGCGUGCUGGAAACAGUACCGAGGGUUCGAAUCCCUCCCUCUCCGCCA